rfam:Tupaia chinensis contig55466, whole genome shotgun sequence.
GUGCUCACUUUGGCAUCAACACAUACAGUAAAAUAGCAAUGGUACAGAGAUCAGCAAGGCCCCUGUGCAAAAAUGAUACACAAAUUAAUGAAAUGUUCCGUAUUUUU